UACGGGGGGGGCAAGCGGUUGUUCGGAAUUACUGGGCGUAAAGGGCUCGUAGGUGGCCAACUAAGUCAGACGUGAAAUCCCUCAGCUUAACUGGGGAACUGCGUCUGAUACUGGAUGGCUUGAGUUUGGGAGAGGGAUGCGGAAUUCCAGGUGUAGCGGUGAAAUGCGUAGAUAUCUGGAGGAACACCGGUGGCGAAGGCGGCAUCCUGGACCAAUACUGACACUGAGGAGCGAAAGCCAGGGGAGCAAACGGG
rnacentral:rRNA from 1 species